rnacentral:rRNA from 1 species
CAAGUCGAGCGGAUCUCAAGGAGCUUGCUCCUUGAGAUUAGCGGCGGACGGGUGAGUAACACGUGGGCAACCUGCCUGUAAGACUGGGAUAACACCGGGAAACCGGUGCUAAUACCGGAUAAUUCUUUCCCUCACAUGAGGGAAAGCUGAAAGUCGGUUUCGGCUGACACUUACAGAUGGGCCCGCGGCGCAUUAGCUAGUUGGUGAGGUAACGGCUCACCAAGGCGACGAUGCGUAGCCGACCUGAGAGGGUGAUCGGCCACACUGGGACUGAGACACGGCCCAGACUCCUACGGGAGGCAGCAGUAGGGAAUCUUCCGCAAUGGACGAAAGUCUGACGGAGCAACGCCGCGUGAGUGAUGAAGGCCUUCGGGUCGUAAAACUCUGUUGUUAGGGAAGAACAAGUACCGGAGUAACUGCCGGUACCUUGACGGUACCUAACCAGAAAGCCACGGCUAACUACGUGCCAGCGGCCGCGGUAAUACGUAGGUGGCAAGCGUUGUCCGGAAUUAUUGGGCGUAAAGCGCGCGCAGGCGGUCCUUUAAGUCUGAUGUGAAAGCCCACGGCUCAACCGUGGAGGGUCAUUGGAAACUGGGGGACUUGAGUGCAGAAGAGGAAAGCGGAAUUCCACGUGUAGCGGUGAAAUGCGUAGAGAUGUGGAGGAACACCAGUGGCGAAGGCGGCUUUCUGGUCUGUAACUGACGCUGAGGCGCGAAAGCGUGGGGAGCAAACAGGAUUAGAUACCCUGGUAGUCCACGCCGUAAACGAUGAGUGCUAAGUGUUAGAGGGUUUCCGCCCUUUAGUGCUGCAGCUAACGCAUUAAGCACUCCGCCUGGGGAGUACGGCCGCAAGGCUGAAACUCAAAGGAAUUGACGGGGGCCCGCACAAGCGGUGGA